AUACGGAGGGUGCGCGCGUUAAUCGGAAUUACUGGGCGUAAAGGGUGCGUAGGCGGCUUGAUGAGUCGGAUGUGAAAGCCCCGGGCUUAACCUGGGAAUUGCAUUCGAUACUGUCAGGCUAGAGUAUGUCAGAGGUUGGCGGAAUUCCUGGUGUAGCGGUGAAAUGCGUAGAUAUCAGGAGGAACACCAGUGGCGAAGGCGGCUAACUGGGGCAGUACUGACGCUGAGGCACGAAAGCGUGGGGAGCAAACAGGAUUAGAUACCCUAGUAGUCC
rnacentral:rRNA from 1 species